AUUGAACGCUGGCGGAAUGCUUUACACAUGCAAGCCGAACGGCAGCACGGACUUCGGUCUGGUGGCGAGUGGCGAACGGGUGAGUAAUGUAUCGGAACGCGCCCAGUCGUGGGGGAUAACGUAGUGAAAAUUACGCUAAUACCGCAUACGAUCUAUGGAUGAAAGCGGGGGAUCGCAAGACCUCGCGCGAUUGGAGCGGCCGAUAACAGAUUAGGUAGUUGGUGGGGUAAAGGCCCACCAAGCCAACGAUCUGUAGCUGGUCUGAGAGGACGACCAGCCACACUGGAACUGAGACACGGUCCAGACUCCUACGGGAGGCAACAGUGGGGAAUUUUGGACAAUGGGCGAAAGCCUGAUCCAGCCAUUCCGCGUGCAGGAUGAAGGCCCUCGGGUUGUAAACUGCUUUUGUACAGAACGAAAAGGUUUCUACUAAUACUAGGAGCUCAUGACGGUACUGUAAGAAUAAGCACUGGCUAACUACGUGCCAGCCGCCGCCGUAA
rnacentral:rRNA from 1 species